CCUGUAUCUCAAUCUCAAACUUCUUCACAUUAGAGAUACACUUUCAUAUCGUUGGUUGUUUAUUUUUUCUCGUGUAAAAAUAAAAGCUUUUAAUUUUUACACUCAAGAGAGUGUAAAUAGAUGCGUGAAUUUUCCUUGUUUCCAUUUUCCACCACUAUCAGGGGGUCUGCAAUAUUCGCGCUUUUCCAUAUCUGAUAGUCCAAGUGAAAACGCCGCGAUGCUAAGAUCCGAUAGUGCAUUAAACAAUUUUUUUUUCCUUUCUAAUUUAUACCAAUUAAAUUAGGAAAAAAUUUCUUAAGGAAAUUACAAACGGUUGUGUGGGGUUUUUCUUUCGGUUUUCUGUUUGGGUUUUGGUUUUCUCCUUUGGUUUAUCUGUUGAAGUUUUUGGCUGGCUGUUGGAAAAGUGAAGAAAAUUUAUACCAAUUAAAUUCAAAAAUUGAAAAAUUCUGCCUAAUUUUUUACAAAAAGAGGAAAAAAAAAUUAAAAUAAAUAAAAAAGUGAUGCAUUAAAGAUGUGUGUAUUUGAAUAAAAUCCAAGCAAAUGUUAAAGUUCAUUUCAAGUUUAAAUGUGAAGGUUCUCUCUGCAGUAUACCCAAACCUUUCUGCUGCUGCAGAAAACCACCCACAAUUUCAACCGUGUACCAUACACCAUCAUUCUACAAUAGUACACCAAUAAAGAAGCAAAAAUGUAAUCCAAUGAUCUGUGCUGCUACUGCUGCUGCUGCUGCAUUGUGCAAAAAUUCUUCUCUACCUAUCAAAAGGAUAUAUAGAGAAAACACACAACAACAACAAUAAUAUAACAACAAGAAUCUCUAUAUAAAUAAAAUUCACAUUGCAUAUAAAUAAAAAAAUAAUUUAAUUUACAAAAAAGCUUCGUUGGUUUUUUUUUUUUUUUU